UGGGGAAUCUUCGGCAAUGGGCGCAAGCCUGACCGAGCCAUGCCGCGUGAGUGAAGAAGGCCUUAGGGUUGUAAAGCUCUUUCACCGGGGAGGAUGAUGACGUUACCCGGAGAAGAAGCACCGGCUAACUCCGUGCCAGCAGCCGCGGUAAGACGGAGGGUGCUAGCGUUGUUCGGAAUCACUGGGCGUAAAGGGCGCGUAGGCGGCUUGGUCAGUCAGAUGUGAAAGCCCAGGGCUCAACUCUGGAACUGCAUUUGAUACUCCCAAGCUUGAGGUCGAAAGAGGAGAGUGGAAUACCCAGUGUAGAGGUGAAAUUCGUAGAUAUUGGGUGGAACACCAGUGGCGAAAGCGGCUCUCUGGUUCGAAUCUGACGCUGAGGCGCGAAAGCGUGGGGAGCAAACAGGAUUAGAUACCCCGGUAGUCC
rnacentral:rRNA from 1 species